GCUUGAGAGAGAGAGAGAGAGAGAGAGAGAGAGAGAGAUAGAGAGAGAGAGAGACUGACCUUCAUAGUUUAUACCAGAAGGAGAAAGAGUGGCAGAGGAACUCCCCAACCAUGCCAAAACCAGCAAGCUCGAUCCCCACAACACAGAUUUCAUCCUUUCCAUUCUCCUCGCCAUUACACAAAACUUGCAGCUUUCAACAUCUGGUUAAGUCCACGCUCGUGAAAGACA